GUGCUCGCUUCGGCAGCACGUAUACUAAAAUUGGAAGUAUAUGGAGAAGAUUAGCAUGGCCCCUACUCAAGGACGACAGGCAAAUUCGUGAAGCGUUCCAUAUUUUU
ensembl:snRNA U6 U6 spliceosomal RNA